ensembl:lncRNA EPCAM-DT EPCAM divergent transcript
GUUGUUGAUGUGACCGCGUGUCCACAACCCUGGGAUUCCCUCGCCCUCAGAUUCCAGAAUCCAAUUUCUUGGAUUUCAGUGUUUUUAAGCCCAAGAUUCAGAAUCCACUGGCCUUGAGUUCGCCCUGUCCUGGGGACAGUGGGACCUGUCACCUGCUGGCCAAGCUGCUCAGGAGUGUGGAGCCUGCAGGAAACAAUGGCAGGAGAUCUGGGCUUUUUCUGGCUGCAGGCCUGACUGCAGCAGAGAAGGUAACAGAGAAGGAAAGAGAGAGGAAGAAAGAGUGAGAGAGAGAGACUGGCUUCUCCUCCAUUUCUCAAGCAAGCCUUGCCAGCACCGCCCACCGUGGAGCUGCGGCUGGUCCUGGGGCGAAUGCAGAGCUGAGCAGCAUACAGCUCCUGCUCUCAAAGACCUGGCAACUCUGACAUGGAAGUAAGGCUUGCCCAAGAGAGGAGAGUGACUAAGGGCUGCACUGCUGGAUGCCUCCAGACCCUUCGAUAAGGGGUCUGGGAGGGCAGGGGGCAGACAGUGAGGGCAGGAUGGUAGAAAAUGUGUUGACUCAGUGCCAGACCCUGAACUA